AGAGUUUGAUCCUGGCUCAGAAUCAACGCUGGCGGCGUGCCUAACACAUGCAAGUCGCACGAGAAAGUGGAGCAAUCCAUGAGUACAGUGGCGCACGGGUGAGUAACACGUGAAUGAUCUACCUCCGAGUGGGGAAUAACUUAGGGAAACCUGAGCUAAUACCGCAUAACACUUACGAGUCAAAGCAGCAAUGCGCUUGGAGAGGAGUUCGCGGCAGAUUAGCUAGUUGGCGGGGUAAUGGCCCACCAAGGCGAUGAUCUGUAUCCGGCCUGAGAGGGCGCACGGACACACUGGAACUGAAACACGGUCCAGACUCCUACGGGAGGCAGCAGUGGGGAAUUUUGCGCAAUGGGGGAAACCCUGACGCAGCAACGCCGCGUGGAGGAUGAAAUCCCUUGGGAUGUAAACUCCUUUCGAUCGGGACGAUUAUGACGGUACCGGAAGAAGAAGCCCCGGCUAACUUCGUGCCAGCAGCCGCGGUAAUACGAGGGGGGCGAGCGUUGUUCGGAAUUAUUGGGCGUAAAGGGUGCGUAGGCGGUUUGAUAAGUCUGAUGUGAAAUCUAUGGGCUCAACCCAUAGUCUGCAUUAGAAACUGUCGGGCUUGAGUAUGGGAGAGGUGAGUGGAAUUUCCGGUGUAGCGGUGAAAUGCGUAGAUAUCGGAAGGAACACCUGUGGCGAAAGCGGCUCACUGGACCAUUACUGACGCUGAUGCACGAAAGCUAGGGGAGCAAACAGGAUUAGAUACCCUAGUAGUCC
rnacentral:rRNA from 1 species